GUGGUCUAGUGGUAUGAUUCGUGCUUCGGGUGCACGAGGUCCCGAGUUCGAUUCUCGGCUCA
rnacentral:tRNA from 1 species